rnacentral:rRNA from 1 species
UACGUAGGGUGCGAGCGUUGUCCGGAAUUAUUGGGCGUAAAGAGCUUGUAGGCGGUCUGUCGCGUCUGCUGUGAAAAUCCGGGGCUCAACCCCGGACUUGCAGUGGGUACGGGCAGACUAGAGUGUGGUAGGGGAGACUGGAAUUCCUGGUGUAGCGGUGAAGUGCGCAGAUAUCAGGAGGAACACCGAUGGCGAAGGCAGGUCUCUGGGCCACUACUGACGCUGAGAAGCGAAAGCAUGGGGAGCGAACAGG